UCCGUGAUAGUUUAGUGGCUAGAGUCACCGUUUGUCGCAUGGUAGACCGGGGUUCAAUUCCCCGUCGCGGAG
rnacentral:tRNA from 1 species